GACUACCAAACUUCACUCAAGGAGAAAGAUCUUGGGGUGAGUAUAACACCGAGCACGUCUCCAGAAGCACACAUCAACCAGAUAACUGCUGCAGCAUAUGGGUGCCUGGCAAAUUUGAGAAUAGCAUUCCGAUACCUUAGUAAGGAAUCGUUCAAGACACUGUACACCGUGUGCGUCAGGCCCAUAUUGGAGUAUGCAGCACCUGUUUGGAACCCACACUUGAUCAAGCACUUCAAGAAAUUAGAGAAAGUGCAAAGGUUUGCGGCAAGGUUAGUUCCAGAGCUAAGGGUUAUGUCCUACUAAGAACGGUUAAGGUAAAUCGGCCUGACGACACCGGAGGACAGGAGGGUUAGGGAAGACAUGAUAACAACAUACAAAAUACUGCGUGGAAUAGACAAGGUGGACAGAGACAGGAUGUUCCAGAGAGGGGACACAGAAACAAGGGGUCACAAUGUCAUGUAGGAGGGUAUUGGAAUGUAUGGAUAAUUGGGGAAUAACGGAGUGGUAGGCAGUAGGCAGGAGAGGUGAGUCGGGCACGGAGGUAAUGUGAGGUCACUGGUGACUACACCUUCACCUCUCAUUAUCCCUACCACUACACUACUCACCCUCUCACUACUUGAAAUAAAAUAAUGAAUAAAAGAGCAAAUAACGGGGACAGUGAAUAUUACUAUUCUACUCAAACACAGUUUAUCAUUAAGACCUUGUACAAUAAUAUAUUUGGGAACAGGAGUUUAGGUAAAUGGGGAUGGUACAUAUAAGCAGUGAGACAGGGAAUACAAUCAACUGACGAAACAGAAUAUAACUUACAAUAUAGUUCAGAGGAUAGUUCACCACAGGAACUCAGCCACAGGUCCCAAGACCUACACAGCCGAGUACUGCUCCAAGCCAAUACUCUGCCCAAUGUCUCCAACAGAGUCUCCUCCCGAGACUCUCCAGCUCAGCUCUGCACACAGACCAGAGCUCUGCUCGACUCCCUGAUCAUGCUGUUCCUUGGGCUUAUAUGAUCUCGAGAGCACCCCCACAAUGGGGUGUGCACUACGUGUUUUGACCUGACGCCGAGAUCUGACACCAUCAAGAACAAAAGACCUCAGACUUAAGCCAAAAGGCAUGUCUGACAGCUAUUUGCCAAGGCAAGGUGUGACCAUAUAAUUGGUUAAAUUAGGUCUCCCUUCAGAGACACAUGCAUAGUGGACUACAUCACAACAAUUGGAAGUUGAAGAACCAGAUGAGUCAAAGGAAUGUUAGGAAGUAUUUCUUCAGUCAUAUAGUAGUCAAGAAGUGGAAUAGCCUAGCAAGUGAGGUAGUGGAGGCAGGAACCAUACAUAGCUUUAAGAUAAUGUAUGAUAAAGCUAAUGAAGUAGGGAGAGAGAGGACCUAGUAGCAUUCAGUGAAGAGGCAGGGGCAGGAGCUGAAUCUCGACCCCUGCAACCACAAUUAGGUGAGUACAAUUAGGUGAGUACACACACACAGAGGCGGGGCCAGGAGGGGAGUCUCGAUCCCUGCAACCACAAAUAGGUGAGUACACACACACGUGGUAAUGCUUUAUUAACAGGGGGCAAAGUCAGGGUAUUUUUCCAGAAUGGUCUAUAAUAUACCAGUUUGGAUAAAACACUUUGACAUACCUUGAACAUUUCUGAGUAAGUUGUCUUGGGCAAACCCCAACCCUCAUUUAAGGUCUUGUACUAGUCGAGAUUUAUUAUUAUUAUUAUUAUUAUUAUUAUUAUUAUUAUUAUUAUUAUUAUUAUUAUCGAAAUUAAGUGCUAAACCCACAAGGAUCAUACACCAUGAGUAUGGGGUCCAUAAUAAAGACAUUAAACUAAAAAAAAGGAAAUAAUACACAACAUCGACCUUGCGAGGUGGUUAAGGCAACUGUUGAGGUGUUGUGGACUCAACACCGUGAGUCAGUCUCAACUCUUUCAUCAAUAAUUUGUUUCCUUUAAGGAACCUGAAAACUAGUGAUGAUGAACUUAUCUGUAAUACAAAUUUAAAAGCAGUAUGAACUUGAAAAAAAAGAUUUAAGUUUACAAUUUUUAGUAUUAUUUUUAUAAUUAAGGGGGAAGCGCUAAACCCGUAGGAUUACAUAGCGUCUAUGGGGGGGGAUGGAAGGUAUUCAGGCUUAAUUCAGGGAACUGAACACAGAUCCAGUUCCUCAGAUCAAGAGCCCCUCACCAGCAUCAAGGAACCUUCCUUGAGAAGUUACAAUUUUUAAACUGGCUUACUGAAACAAUAUUUAUGUCGUGUGGUUGUCAUAGCAACCUACAAUAAGAAAUUCAGGCAUCAUCACCAUCAUCAUCAUCAUCAUCAUCAUCAUCAUCUUCAUCAUCAUCAUCAUCAUCAUAAUAAUAAUAAUAAUAAUAAUAAUAAUAAUAAUAAUAAUAAUAAUAAUAAUAAUAAAUCUUAAACAGUGGAAAAUGAUAAAACACUUUUCACAAAAGUGUUUGAAAAUACUUUAAUUGUUACUGCUAACAUAUCCAUGUAUAGUAAUAUAAUAAAGUGAAAAGUUAAACUAAUUAGGGUAAUACAACACCUGGGAAAUAGGAGGCAAUCAGGUUUGAUCCGAGGAGGGGGAGAGAAGAUCCUAUUCCUCGAAUUUCAUAUAUAAUAAUUUCAUAUAUCAAAUAAGUAGUCUAGAAUCAUAAUAUAAUUCAAAUGAUCAUAACACUCGAGGUGCUGGUGAUCACCAACGUUACCGUCACUCGAGGUGCUGGUGAUCACCAACGUUACCGUCACUCGAGGUGCUGGUGAUCACCAACGUUCAUGUCAAUAUAAUUUGACAAUAUGACUCAACGAUACUUACCACAAAAAUAUACUGGAAAAUUUGUUACAAAAUGCAUUAAUAUUGACAAAAAAAAAAUCAGUGAUAAGGGAAUAUGCUGAAGGGCG